rnacentral:rRNA from 1 species
GACGAACGCUGGCGGCGUGCUUAACACAUGCAAGUCGAACGGAAAGGCCCUGCUGUUGUGGGGUGCUCGAGUGGCGAACGAAUGAGUAACACGUGAGUAACCUGCCCUUGACUUUGGGAUAACUUCAGGAAACUGGGGCUAAUACCGGCUAGGAGCCACUGCUGCAUGGUGGGGGUUGGAAAGUUUCGGCGGUUUGGGAUGGACGCGCGGUUAAUCUGCUGGUUAGUCGGGUAGUGGCUUACCAAGGCCUUGACAGGUAGCCGGCCUGUGACGGUAACCAGCCACAUGGGGCCUGAGAGACGGCCCAGACGCGUACCUGAGGCAGCAGGGGAGAGUAUUGCACAAUGGGGCGACGCCUGAUGCAGCAACUCCGCGUGCGGGAUGACGUCCUUCGGGUGGUAAACCGAUUUCGCCUGUGACGAAGCGUGAGUGACGGUAAUGAGUAAAGAAGCACCGGCUAACUACGUG